CAGGAUGGCUCCCUCACUCGCUGGAGAGGCUGAGACAUUUUUCGGGAAUGGAUGUCUGCUGGGAAGCACACGCUGGCGUUUAGAUACAACCCAAAGCAAGACACAACAAGCAAAAGCUAAAAAUGUGAAGAAUGAAGCUUUUGGGAGGGAUGAGAAAGCAAAGGAAGAACCCUCAGGAUGAAGGAUUUCAAGUGGCAGGAGGGUUAAAC